CAUUCCGAACAGAGAAGUUAAACCUUUUAGCGCAGAUGGUACUGCAAUUUGUGGGAGAGUAUGUCGCCGCCUUCU
rnacentral:rRNA from 1 species